GUGGGGAAUCUUCCGCAAUGGACGAAAGUCUGACGGAGCGACGCCGCGUGAGUGAAGAAGGCCUUCGGGUCGUAAAGCUCUGUCAUCAGGGACGAACGGCCGGUGGAGUGGAAAGCCACCGGAUUGACGGUACCUGAGAAGGAAGCCACGGCUAACUACGUGCCAGCAGCCGCGGUAAUACGUAGGUGGCAAGCGUUGUCCGGAAUUAUUGGGCGUAAAGCGCGCGCAGGUGGGAUCUUAAGUCCAUUUUGAAAGUUCGGAGCUCAACUCCGUGAUGGGAUGGAAACUGGGAUUCUUGAGUACCGGAGAGGAAAGCGGAAUUCCCCGUGUAGCGGUGAAAUGCGUAGAUAUGGGGAGGAACACCAGUGGCGAAGGCGGCUUUCUGGACGGUGUCUGACGCUGAGAUGCGAAAGCCAGGGUAGCGAACGGGAUUAGAAACCCCUGUAGUCC
rnacentral:rRNA from 1 species